rnacentral:rRNA from 1 species
GAUGAACGCUGGCGGCGUGCCUAAUACAUGCAAGUCGAGCGAGCGGCGGACGGGUGAGUAAUGUCUGGGAAACUGCCUGAUGGAGGGGGAUAACUACUGGAAACGGUAGCUAAUACCGCAUACCAUCAGAUGUGCCCAGAUGGGAUUAGCUAGUAGGUGGGGUAAUGGCUCACCUAGGCGACGAUCCCGAGCUGGUCUGAGAGGAUGACCAGCCACACUGGAACUGAGACACGGUCCAGACUCCUACGGGAGGCAGCAGGGGGGAAUAUUGCACAAUGGGCGCAAGCCUGACGGAGCAACUCCGCGGGUAUGAAGAAGGCCUUCGGGUUGUAAAGUACUUUCAGCUGGGAGGCGUUACCCGCAGAAGAAGCACCGGCUAACUCCGUGCCAGCAGCCGCGGUAAUUC